GACGAACGCUGGCGGCGUGCUUAACACAUGCAAGUCGAACGGAAAGGCCCUGCUUUUGUGGGGUGCUCGAGUGGCGAACGGGUGAGUAACACGUGAGUAACCUGCCCUUGACUUUGGGAUAACUUCAGGAAACUGGGGCUAAUACCGGAUAGGAGCUCCUGCUGCAUGGUGGGGGUUGGAAAGUUUCGGCGGUUGGGGAUGGACUCGCGGCUUAUCAGCUUGUUGGUGGGGUAGUGGCUUACCAAGGCUUUGACGGGUAGCCGGCCUGAGAGGGUGACCGGCCACAUUGGUACUGAGAUACGGCCCAGACUCCUACGGGAGGCAGCAGUGGGGAAUAUUGCACAAUGGGCGGAAGCCUGAUGCAGCAACGCCGCGUGCGGGAUGACGGCCUUCGGGUUGUAAACCGCUUUCGCCUGUGACGAAGCGUUAGUGACGGUAAUGGGUAAAGAAGCACCGGCUAACUACGUG
rnacentral:rRNA from 1 species